rnacentral:rRNA from 1 species
CUACGUGCCAGCAGCCGCGGUAAUGCGUAGGGUGCGAGCGUUGUCCGGAAUUAUUGGGCGUAAAGGGCUUGUAGGCGGUUUGUCGCGUCUGCCGUGAAAUCCUCUGGCUUAACUGGGGGCGUGCGGUGGGUACGGGCAGACUUGAGUGCGGUAGGGGAGACUGGAACUCCUGGUGUAGCGGUGGAAUGCGCAGAUAUCAGGAAGAACACCGGUGGCGAAGGCGGGUCUCUGGGCCGUUACUGACGCUGAGGAGCGAAAGCGUGGGGAGCGAACAGGAUUAGAUACCCUGGUAGUCCACGCUGUAAACGUUGGGCACUAGGUGUGGGGGCCACCCGUGGUUUCUGCGCCGUAGCUAACGCUUUAAGUGCCCCGCCUGGGGAGUACGGCCGCAAGGCUAAAACUCAAAGGAAUUGACGGGGGCCCGCACAAGCGGCGGAGCAUGCGGAUUAAUUCGAUGCAACGCGAAGAACCUUACCAAGGCUUGACAUGC